UAUAAGUGUAGUUCUAGGUUUCCGUGUCCAACGUUAACUGUCCAUCUUAUUUGGGAAAAAAAUGAUUGGUAUAUUUAUUCUUAUUACACGAUAAAACAUGAAUAUUAAUUUAUGUGGGAUUAUUUUUUUAAUUUUUUUAUAAAUUUUUUAAAUAAGACGGAUGGUCAAAUGUUGGAUACGGAAAACCACAACUGCACUGGAA
rfam:Oryza punctata chromosome 5, whole genome shotgun sequence.